rnacentral:rRNA from 1 species
UACGAAGGGGGCUAGCGUUGUUCGGAAUUACUGGGCGUAAAGCGCGCGUAGGCGGUUCGCCAAGUCGGGCGUGAAAGCCCCGGGCUCAACCCGGGAAUUGCGUUCGAUACUUGCGGACUUGAGGUCGGGAGAGGGUAGUGGAAUUCCCAGUGUAGAGGUGAAAUUCGUAGAUAUUGGGAAGAACACCAGUGGCGAAGGCGGCUACCUGGCCCGAAUCUGACGCUGAGGCGCGAAAGCGUGGGGAGCAAACAGG